AGUGAACGCUGGCGGCGUGCCUAAUACAUGCAAGUCGAACGGAGUGGCGCACGGGUGAGUAAUAUAUAGCUAAUCUGCCCCUUGCUGGAGGACAACAGUUAGAAAUGACUGCUAAUACUCCAUAGCAAGGGAUGAGACUAUAUCGUAUCAGCUAGUCGGUGGGGUAACGGCCUACCGAGGGUAUGACGAGUAACUGGUCUGAGAGGAUGAUCAGUCGCAUUGGAACUGAGACACGGUCCGAAAACCUACGGGAGGGGGCAGUAGGGAAUAUUGGGCAAUGGGGGUAACCCUGGCGGAGCAACGCCGCGUGGAGGAUGACACGUUUCGGGGCGUAAACUCCUUUUGUUAGGGAAGCGGUACCUACCGAAUAAGCACCGGCUAACUCCGUGCCAGCAGCCGCGGUAAUAC
rnacentral:rRNA from 1 species